rnacentral:rRNA from 1 species
UAGUAACUGCGAGUGAAGCGGGAAAAGCUCAAAUUUAAAAUCUGGUAGUCCUUGCGGCUGCCCGAGUUGUAAUCUAGAGAAGCGUUAUCCGCGCUGGACCGUGUACAAGUCUCCUGGAACGGAGCGUCAUAGAGGGUGAGAAUCCCGUCUUUGACACGGACUACCAGGGCUUUGUGAUGCGCUCUCAAAGAGUCGAGUUGUUUGGGAAUGCAGCUCUAAAUGGGUGGUAAAUUCCAUCUAAAGCUAAAUAUUGGCGAGAGACCGAUAGCGAACAAGUACCGUGAGGGAAAGAUGAAAAGAACUUUGGAAAGAGAGUUAAACAGUACGUGAAAUUGUUGAAAGGGAAACGCUUGAAGUCAGUCGCGUUGGCCGGGGAUCAACCUUGCUUUUUUGCUUGGUGUACUUUCCGGUUAAUGGGUCAGCAUCAAUUUUGACCGGUGGAUAAAGGUUAGGGGAAUGUAGCAUCUUUGGAUGUGUUAUAGCCUUUGGUUGCAUGCAUCGGUUGGGAUUGAGGAACUCAGCACGCCGCAAGGCCGGGUUUUUUAACCACGUACGUGCUUAGGAUGCUGGCAUAAUGGCUUUAAUCGACCCGUCUUGAAACACGGACCAAGGAGUCUAACAUGCCUGCGAGUGUUUGGGUGGAAAACCCGAGCGCGUAAUGAAAGUGAAAGUUGAGAUCCCUGUCGCGGGGAGCAUCGACGCCCGGACCAGACCUUUUGUGACGGUCCCGCGGUAGAGCAUGUAUGUUGGGACCCGAAAGAUGGUGAACUAUGCCUGAAUAGGGUGAAGCCAGAGGAAACUCUGGUGGAGGCUCGUAGCGAUUCUGACGUGCAAAUCGAUCGUCGAAUUUGGGUAUAGGGGGCGAAAGACUAAUCGAACCAUCUAGUAGCUGGUUCCUGCCG